ACAGAAUUAGAUUUUCUGUGGUUGGGUAAAGAGAUGCAUGGCUCAUAGUAAAAAUAUCUGUCCUUUAUUUUAGGAAAACCUUCCAGUCCAGGACAUUCUGUUACCCUCCGUUGAGCUGAACUUAGACAUGAAUGGCACUUAGGUACAUGCUGUCCUGAAAUUACAUACUUUCCUGAAUCAGAGCCCAGGAAAAACACCUGCAGCAUGGAACAGCCCUGGAAAAGUUAAAUAGGAGCCUGUGUGCUGUGAUGUGCUGUGGUGAGCAUACACUCAAGAAAUGCACAUCAGGUAACAUGCAUCUGGUGUAGUGGUGGGAGUCUGCUCUGCUAAUAAAAUACUGAAUAUGUAAAUCCCUCCA
rnacentral:lncRNA from 1 species